AGAGUUCUAUAACUCCCAAACCCAUGUGAACAUACUUAACGUUGCCUCGGCAGGUCGCGCCUACCUCGUAGUCCUACCCUGUAGGACUUACCCGGGAGGUGCGGAUAAGCCUGCCGGCGGCCCACCAAACUCUGUUUGAUAUUGAAUUCUGAACCUAUAACUAAAUAAGUUAAAACUUUCAACAACGGAUCUCUUGGUUCUGGCAUCGAUGAAGAACGCAGCGAAAUGCGAUAAGUAAUGUGAAUUGCAGAAUUCAGUGAAUCAUCGAAUCUUUGAACGCAUAUUGCGCCCAUUAGUAUUCUAGUGGGCAGGACCGUUCGAGCGUCAUUUCGACCCUUAAGCCUUAGUUGCUUAGUGUUGGGAGCCUACGGCAACGUAGCUCCUCAAAGUUAGUGGCGGAGUUGGUUCACACUCUAGACGUAGUAAUUUUUUAUCUCGCCUAUUAGUUGGACUGAUCCCCUGCCGUAAAACCCCAACUUCUAAAGGUUGACCUCGAAUCGGUUCAGACAAACUCGCUAAAUUGAAGCAUCUUAGUCAGCGAAGGAAAAGAAACCAACAGGGAUUGCCCUAGUAACGGCGAGUGAAGCGGCAACAGCUCAAAUUUGAAAUCUGGCCCUCGGGUCCGAGUUGUAAUUUGUAGAGGAUGCUUUUGGCGCGGUGCCUUCCGAGUUCCCUGGAACGGGACGCCUUAGAGGGUGAGAGCCCCGUACGGUUGGACACCAAGCCUCUGUAAAGCUCCUUCGACGAGUCGAGUAGCUUGGGAAUGCUGCUCUAAAUGGGAGGUAAAUUUCUUCUA
rnacentral:rRNA from 1 species